rnacentral:rRNA from 1 species
AGUGAACGCUGGCGGUAGGCCUAACACAUGCAAGUCGAACGGCAGCACAGUAAGAGCUUGCUCUUACGGGUGGCGAGUGGCGGACGGGUGAGGAAUACAUCGGAAUCUACUUUUUCGUGGGGGAUAACGUAGGGAAACUUACGCUAAUACCGCAUACGACCUACGGGUGAAAGCAGGGGAUCUUCGGACCUUGCGCGAAUGAAUGAGCCGAUGUCGGAUUAGCUAGUUGGCGGGGUAAAGGCCCACCAAGGCGACGAUCCGUAGCUGGUCUGAGAGGAUGAUCAGCCACACUGGAACUGAGACACGGUCCAGACUCCUACGGGAGGCAGCAGUGGGGAAUAUUGGACAAUGGGCGCAAGCCUGAUCCAGCCAUACCGCGUGGGUGAAGAAGGCCUUCGGGUUCUAAAGCCCUUUUGUUGGGAAAGAAAAGCAGCAGGUUAAUACCCCGCUGUUCUGACGGUACCCAAAGAAUAAGCACCGGCUAACUUCGUG